rnacentral:rRNA from 1 species
CCUACGGGAGGCAGCAGUGGGGAAUUUUGGACAAUGGGGGCAACCCUGAUCCAGCCAUGCCGCGUGAGUGAAGAAGGCCUUCGGGUUGUAAAGCUCUUUCGGACGGAACGAAACGGGCGAGGCUAAUAACCUUGUCCACUGACGGUACCGUAAGAAGAAGCACCGGCUAACUACGUGCCAGCAGCCGCGGUAAUACGUAGGGUGCGAGCGUUAAUCGGAAUUACUGGGCGUAAAGCGUGCGCAGGCGGUUUUGUAAGCUGGAGGUGAAAUCCCCGGGCUUAACCUGGGAAUGGCCUUCAGGACUGCAAGGCUUGAGUACGGCAGAGGGAGGUGGAAUUCCACGUGUAGCAGUGAAAUGCGUAGAUAUGUGGAGGAACACCGAUGGCGAAGGCAGCCUCCUGGGCCAGUACUGACGCUCAUGCACGAAAGCGUGGGGAGCAAACAGGAUUAGAUACCCUGGUAGUCCACGCCCUAAACGAUGUCAACUAGGUGUUGGGGAAGGUGACUUCCUUAGUACCGCAGCUAACGCGUGAAGUUGACCGCCUGGGGAGUACGGCCGCAAGGUUAAAACUCAAAGAUAGAGGCGUGNGACGUGCGACGGACGACACAGGGAGUAGG